rnacentral:lncRNA from 1 species
UAAUAUGUUCAUCGCCGUAUACUUGGAAAUGGGAUCUUACUGGGUAAUCAUCAUCAAUAGAGAAGCCAGCAUCAUAAUGGGCCUUAAAAGUCUCCAGGUAUAAAAUUUCAAAAGAACCUUCCUCCUCAACUAUGCACUUUACUUCUUCUGCUGAAGGUGUAAAGAAUGGAAGAUUGAAACUAGCCAAUUUUUCUUCCUCCAGAUGUCCCUGCAGAUAUGCCAAUCAUCAAUUCAAUUCAAAUUAUUUGAAGCGCGAGACUUGGAAAUUAGCCAAUUUGCUAAAACAUCAACUCUAGGAAAAAAAAGGUACAGUUUUUUUCCUUAAUUUCAAAAUGAAUAUAUUAUUAUUACUUGUGCUUUUAGUUCAUAUUAUGAUUUUUUCCAAUACCUUUUUAACCAAAAAGGGGGGAAAAAGAUAGCCGACAAAUUAAAUCCCCCUAUAUUUCUAACUUGAAAGAAUUAUCUUAACUGUAUUGGAGUUGUGUGACCUAACUUCUAAUUAAAGGCUACUACCAUCUGAUUUACGGUAAACUUGGUCUACACAAAGUUUAUUCUAUCAAGGUUAUAAAGAAUAAAAUUGCAUCCAUUUUGCAGCUAAGGUAGGAACCUUGAAUAAGCUAGCUAGCUAUCUAGUUUAUUUCAGAUAACAAGCAAUGAACAUCUGAUCAUCAAAGAGACAGAGAAAUGAUAACCUCAACAAUCAAGUCGUUUAUUGCCAUGUCAAGUAAGUCUAGGGGAUUCGGUUCGUCGUAUUCAUCUACUUUACAAAUGCAAGUAAGGAGCAUUCGGCCACGUGAAAACAACUCUUUCGAAUGAAUCCUUAGAAAUGUGGUAAAAUCUUUCGUAAAUUGAUCCAAAUAUGCCUUUUGGACGGGCGGACGACUUGCUUUGGAAGAGUAAAUACUCCCUUUGUUUGCACUAAUCCCCAAUUCAAUCACCAAACCGCUGGGAACCUGCACGUCUAGAACUGGUAACUUAUAUAGUUGGAUCAUUUUGUUAGUGUUGCAUGUGGGAAUAUAAAUCAUGAGCCACGACUUAAAUAAAAUAUGUUAUUAGUUUCUUCCUGUGGAUAUCUUUAGAAUUAUUAAAGAAAUUUCCAUGCAUAGUUACUAAUGUGUUGAAUGAAAAUCAUGAACUAUUUUUGCUACAAGAAAAAGUAAAAAGAUAAAGGGGAUUAACUCAAAGACCUGAGAUAACCAAUGAAAACUGUAACAAGAGUGUAUAAAAUGCAUGGACUCCUCGGGGAAGAGUCUGCCGUAGAAAGAGCCAGGCAUUGCGCUUAUUAGGCACGAUCCUAUUUUGCGUCCAUUUUCUUUCUCAAGUUUGCGGUAGAAGCUUGGCAGCAACUUGAAAACCGAAUUGAAAUCAUUUUGGAAAAGAUCAUUCAGAAAAAUCUGAAUGGUGGGACGUUCUAAUUCAUUCUUCUCUUCCUGGCCAACUUUGUCAAUACUUUGCACAAUGUCCCGAACUGUUAAAAGUGUGUUUGGUCCAGAAGCGCAUCCCAAAUCCGCAACUUUAAUGCAGUUGUUGAUGUUGGGCAAGUUGGCCCGCAACAAUUCUCGUAUGCAUUGUUCAAGGACAGGUUUCACCUUGGCAAGAGCCAGCUGUUACACAUACCAGUCCAAAAUACAAAUGUGAAGGGGGGAAAAAAGACAUACUAAGUUAGAGAUCGACGUAUCAUAGCAUGAUUUACCACUACUCUGUGUGUGUGUGUUAAAGAGAGAUAGAGAGACAGACAGACAUUGUAGGAUGAAUUCUUGGCGUAGCUUGUAUCGCCUUCACCUCCAUUCAUAUGCAGGACUGCUUGGAGCUCCAUUCAUAUGCAGGACAAUCGAAUUGCGACUGCUAAAGAAGGUGUCUGUUAAUGAUUAAUUGUGCAAAAUGUCGGGCUUAAAUAGCGAAAAUUUCAUAGAUGCGUAUGCGAACCAGCUACCUACGUGCGUAGAAAAGUCUGUCAAUUGGUCAGAAAGAAAGCGCACAGCCAAUGGGAACCAGACACGAAUGAUAAAAUCAGAAGUUGAGAUUUGGGGAUAAAAUAUCUUAUCUUAUAGGGUUAAAUGCAAAAAACCCCACAAACUAUAUACCCAAUUGCAGUUUACCCCCUAAACUAUAAUAAUAAACAUUUUGUCCCCUUGAAUGAUAUGUUUGGACAAAUCUACCCCUUUUAUUUUAAGCAUUGUUAUUUUUCUUUUUUCCCUAUCAUUUUCUUUUUAAAUUCUUCCUUUUUUUUCUUUAAACAUUGUUUAAAUAAGUAGACUAGAUUAGUCAAAAUUUGUUUAUUUCUUAAUUUCGUAUGUCAAUAUUUUAUAAAAAAAAAUCUAUGGAAUACAAGAUUUUUUUUCCAAAUGUUGGAGUCAAUGUCAUUUAAGAAAUUGAACUUUUCAAAUAUAUAAUAACAAAAUAGAGAAAUUGAUUAAUCAAUUAUUAGUAGUAUCAAUAACAAAAAAAAUGAACUACUAUUGUUGUUUAUUCUUAUUUUUUAUUUCACUACAAAUAACAAUUGCUAACUUUUCUUUUUUAUGUGACAUAUAAUAUGUUACUUUUAUUAUAAGUAGUUGAGUAACUGUGAACUCUUAAUUAGUUCAUGGGUACUUAAAUUGUUGAAUUACUAGAUUAAUACACUUUACAAUAUAAGCUACAUAUAUUUUGUAAUAACAAAGAGUUUAUGUCAAAUUAUUAAGAAUAAAUUUAACAAAUAAACAAAUUAAAAAAUAGUUUAAAAAAUAUUAAAAUUUUUUAUGUAAGUCUUUUCACAUCGGAGAAAGACGUUGGCUAGUUCCACGAGAGAAGGAGAAAAUAAAAGGAAAAAAUGAAAAAAGCUAAUAGAGAAAAGAAAAGAAAGGAUUUAAGACAGUAGGGGUAAUGUUGUCCAAACAUAUCAUUCAAGGGGACAAAUUGCCUAUUAUUAUAGUUUAGGGGGUAAACUGCAACUGGGUAUAUAGUUUGUGAGGGUUUUUUGUAUUUAACCCUAUCUUAUAUAGAAAAAGUCAAGACUUCUACUCUCAUAUUGAGCCACGUGGCCGCAUUUGGGAAGGGAGUCUACUGUAGUAUAUUGAUAAGUGUAUGUUUUGAGUGUUUUAAAUGUGUUUUAUUAAUUAGUUUUGGUGUAUUUUAAUUAAUUUUAUAGCUAAUUAACUAAGUUUCUAGUGAAAAUAUACAUUUUGUGGUUUAAGUAUCAAAAAUUGCAUUUCUAUAGAUUUUAAUAGUGAAAAUUUCAUAUUUUUGUAGGUUAAAUUAUUCAAUCAUCAAUUGGAGUGACUUGAGAAGAUAUUUGGAUGAUUUGAAAUGAUUUAAAGAAAACAUGAACUAUCAAAUGUUCAAAAGAGGAAAUUCAAUCAAGAAUAAAAGAAAGGGAGUUUUCCAACUUUGAUACCUUGUGGUCUUUCAGCUAUAUCUUGAGUUACAAGCAUUGAAUUGAGGUGAUUCUUAAACCAUUUUAACACUAAGAGAUAGCUGCAUAUUUGAUAGGGAUAAUUUCAUAUACCUCCCCUUAGGUUUCUGACAGUUUCACUCCCCUCCCCUGUGGUUUCAGAAAUACCACAAACCUCCCCUAAAACUAAAUAGGCAAUGUCAAAAUAGACCCAAUUUAAAAAUACAAACAAUAAAAAAUCAGUAGCUAGAGAGAGAAACAAGUGUAUGCCACAAACGCCCUCAUUAUCUUGCAUUAAUGAGCUAAUCUCAUGUGAAGAAAAAACAAGGAAUUUAAGAAGAAUAAAACUUGAGGGGGUGUAAGUGAGACCAAUGCAUUCAUUAAGGUUUGAACGUCAAUAGUGAACAAAAUGGAAGGCAACGGCUCUUUCUGGCAGUCAGUUCUAAUGUCCAUAUGCAACGCCCAAUUCAGAAGGCUAUUUAUAAGAGUAAGGGACUGCUUGUUUUACAGAUUGAAAUCGGAAAUGGAAAUGGAAUCAUAGACUCCGGUUUUGGAAUUAAACUUUUCAUUCCAAUAUCUAACUUGGUUCACAUAUUGGAAUUAGCAUCAUUCCAAUUCCUGAUACUUGGUUUGAUGAGUGUUUCGGAAUUAAAUGUAAUUAAAUUUCAAAUUUACCCCUGAUAUAACAAUUCUUCUAAAACAAAAGAAUUACACAUACGACAAAUUAACAUCUCCAUAAUUGUAACUACAAUAGUUAUUAACUUUUUGAUAAAACAUAAGAAAAUCAUAAACCAUAAAAAAAAUUAAUACCAAAAAAUAAAUAUAGUGGCUGCAUUAACAAGGAGUAAAUUCCCAAAACGAAGGAGUUUUUAAACUAACUUCUCAAAGGGUGAUGAUUUUUGAAUCUCUUUCCACAGGGUGAAAAAUACAUCCAAGGAAUGCAUUCUUCCAAAUAAAAACGCAACUUUCAAAUACAUUAUUUUAAUUUUCAUAAAUUUAUUUAAAUAUGAAAAAUUGGUUAAAUAGCGCAUAAUAUACCAACUUUUUAUGAGAAAUUGACAGGUUUUGUAGUAUGUUUUGUAUCAGCUCUUUAUGGGAGACAUGCUAGUUCUCUAUGGGAAAAAUUGGUUAAAUAGCGCUCAAAGGAAAACUAUUAUGCUUUGUAUUUAACAUAAAUUAAAUAUGUGAAAGUUAAAAAUAAAAAAAGAAAUUGCUCAUAACAUACCAGCUCUUUAUAGGAAACUGGCAGGUUUUAUAGUAUGUUUUGUACCAACUCUUUAUGGGAAACAUACCAGCUCUUUAUGGGAAAAAUUGGUUAAAUAGUGCCCAAAGGAAAACUAAUAUGUUUUGUAUUUAACAUAAAUUAAAUAUGUGAAAGUUAAAAAAAAAAAAAAGAAAUUGCCCAUAACAUACCAGCUCUUUAUGAGAAAUUGGCAGGUUUUGUAUUUAAUGAACUAUUUAAUCAAUUUUUCAUAUUUAAACAAACUUACGAAAAUUAAAAUAACGUAUUUGAAAAUUGCAUUCAUAUUUAAACAAAUUUACGAAGGCCCUUUUCUAUAUUGGUUGUUAGGACUCUAAUUUUUCGUUAAUUACAUUAAUUGUGUUUAUAACUAACUUAACUAAAUUUUUCCAGAUAAUCACGAAAUAUUAGCAAACUUGUGAGGGUAUUUAAGUCUUUGUGGCACCAAUGAUGUAAGAAAUGGAACCUCACAAUCUGACAAGGGAGGUUUGUGGUAUUUCUGAAACCACAGGGGAGGGGAGUGAAACUGUCAGAAACCUCAGGGGAGGUAUCUGAAAUUAUCCCUAUUUGAUAUGAAGACUUGAAAUCUAGUUUAGUCGUUUUCUUUGUCGAAAUACAGAAGUGCAUUUUUAUUGUCAAAAACUAAAACAGAGUUCUGACUAGUCGAGAAUAUUUUGGUUAUUUCUUGGUCCACAGAUCUCCAAAUUAGAUGAUUCUUGAAGCAUUGAAAAUGGGCUACAACUUUCAUGCUUUUUACAAGAGUUAGUUCAUCCUCCAUCAUCAAGAAAAUACCAGUUGACGUUGGACCAAAAACAGAGCAAAGAGAAGACUUGACCAGAAAUGAGCAAACUUCAAAAAGAGAAAAACGUGGGUAUAAUAUGCGACCUUAGGUCAUGUUUUCGAGGUCGCGUAAUCUUCAUUUGUGGCUGCAGUUUGCUCUGCAACUUUUGCUUUGUUCACACAAGCUUUUUGACUACUUUUUCAGCAAGAAUUUCGACUAGGUAUGAGCUAACAAGUAUGGAGACAUCAAGAAACAACCUUUUGAUGAUUCCAAAAGCCAACUAGCACCAACCUUAACAUGAUUACUUGGAGUUUUAAUCCUCUAUAAAUAGAGGCCUUUGGGAAACAUUUUCCCAACUUUAGAAAGGCUAGAGAAACUCCACAAAAAUGUAGUCUUCACUAGAAUUUCUUUAGUUCAUUAAUUAGAUUAGUAUAGUAUAGUUAGUGUAACUUAUCCUUCUUGUAUUUGUAACUAAACUUGGAUGAAGAUUAAGGAGCAAAAUGAAGAGUUUGAUCUCAUGUGACAAGGGUGAUAUCUCUUAUACUAUUUUUUCUCUUGUAUUUGAUUUCAUAUUUAGUUAUUAUACAAGUUUGGAUUUGUGUUUAAAUAUGUAUUUUUAAAGUUUAUACCUAGAGUUAUGGAUGAACUUGCUAUAUCUUAUUAGUGAUAUUUACUUGGUUAUUUGAUGAUAUUAUUUUGAGCAAAUUAUUUAUUAGUUUUACUUUUCUAAUCAUGAUUAACCAACCAUUAAUUAUGAUAAUAUUAACGUGUUAAAUUUGCAAUGAGAAUUGGGAUUAACAAUAGUUCAACGAAGUGAUAAACUUAGGGAAUACACUCACAAGAGUAGAGGUACACUUAUGUGGAUUUACUGACUUGUUUCAUGUAAUUUCAUAGAAGAAAUAAGUUUGUAAUUAAUUUCAUAACCAUGAGAGUAGGUAUGGUUUAAUUACAAGUAUAGUUGAUUCAUUACGAGAGUAGAUUUCAUAUACAUUAAGAAAUUAUGCCAUAACUAGCCAAGAUAAUAACAUUCACUUAAUCGAUAAUUUCAUUAGCGAGAGUAGUUAGGAAUUUCAUACCUCUAGAAGUUUUAUAUUUUUAUUUUUAUUACGUUUACUUCAUGUUUGUAGUGUAGCUUUAAUCUUUUGCAAUUUGUGGUAAUCUAAAUAAUAAAGGAGUUUGAAAGCUAUCGGUAAUUGACAAUUUUCUCUGUAGGUUUGACCCUUAAUACUCUAUGCUCAAUCACGCAUAGUAUACUUGUGAAAAAUGGCAUAUGGGGUAUUUUGAAUUUUAUAAAUAUGAAACUUGACUAUGGAUGACCUAAUUGUUAUAUACAUAUCCCGUGCCCGUCAAAUUUUUAAUGCCGUUGCCGGGGAAGAUUUUGCUCAAUAUUGGCGCUAAGAAUAACUUUAUUAAUUUAGACAUUUUUUCUUGGUUUUCUUGUUUUUAUUGUGUUUAUUGUCCUUUUGUUAUGUUUAGUGUCUUGUUGUAUCUUUUAUUUUAUGUUUAGUGUCAUGUUUUUGUAUGUGUCGAGUCAUCUAUUCUUCUUGACUAAACUUGUUUUUGAAUUACUUUGAAAGUAUGUUUAGGGUUUUAAGGAGAGUAGAAAACAUGAGGAGACAAUGCUUGAGAAGUGAAAGAUCGGCAAUGGAUUAUUAUCAAGUACAAAGCACCUUGAAUAGAGGUAACCAAGAUGUUACCGAAGGUAUAUCAUUCAAAAAUGGUUUAAAGAGUUUAAAGGCUAAACUUGAUAUUAUAAUAUUAAAAGUUCAAUUGGACACCAUUACAAACAUGCUUGAGCAAAAGAGGAAUGUUAAUACUUUUAAUUCUUAUCAUGUGAUUUGUAACUUGUGUGGAGAUUAUCAUGCUACUCAUACAUGUAGGCAAGCACACAAUGUGGAUUAUUAUGAUGAAUUUGGGUAUUACAAUCCUUAUUUUGAUCAAUAUGGUCAUAACUGGGGGAAUUCUUAUACUUAUGAUUGGGAUAAUCAAUGUAUUUAUAGUGAUUCUCAAUGUUAUCAUGAUUACCCACCCGAGCGUGUCCAAUAUGAAUCUAAACUAUUUUGGGAAUUAGCCAUAGAAAAGCUAGCUAAUGCAACCUCAGAUCGUUUUGAUAGGGUUGACCAAAGAUUUGAUGAAUUAACUUCUCAUUUUGGUAGAUUACAAGAUCAAUUACACGUUUUGUGUGAAGUUAUUUUUUCUAAUCAUGUGCAAGAUGACCCUAACAUGAAUGAUGGAAAUGUUGUAUGUCGAAAUGGAUUGCAUUUUGAUGGAAAUGAUGCAUUUAAUAUACGUUUCAAUGAGAAAUUGUCCAUUUCACAAAAUCAUAUCCUUGGAACUAACUUUAAAGCUCAAGAGAUGAGCAUCAAUGACUCAUUUUUCAUCUCUCUUGAGGAAUGUGUUGAAAACAUAGGUUCUAAAUAUAUCGUCACCCAAGAAAGGCAAGCAGAUGUUCCUUUGGUGAGCACUCAAGUGACGCACAUUCAAGGUAUUAUUUAUCCAUCGCUUGAGAUAUGUAAGCCUCUUCCACCUCUCAUACUAUUAGAACAUGUGGAUUUUGAUAUCAAGCCACCAUUUAUUGAUCCACCAUGUCUUCUAAUGAUGAAUUAUUCAUUGACAAAAUCUCGAAAAAUGAAAUUAUAUAGUCGAGCCAAAGACUAUAAACAAAAGCGCUAGUUGAGAGGUAACCCAAUAUUUUGAUGACUUAUGUUAAUUCAGUGUGAUUUUAUGUUUAAAUUAUGCAUUUAAUGUAUUGUUUUUCUUUUGUAGGUUUGGGAAAUAGAAGUAAAAGUGAUCAAAUGAGAUGAAAAAGGCGAAAUUUGAUUGAAAAACUCCACCCCUCGAUUUGAGUAUUUAAUGUUUUUGAUUCGUUAAAGAGAGGUAAAAUACAUAUUUUGAUCAUUUUACAUAGCGUGCGUUGAUUAUUUUAUCGAAAGAAUGAUCUAGUGUGCAUUUUAAGCAAUAGGGGUACCAUGUGUAAUUUUAAAAAAUUGAAUCUUCUGUAGAAAAAUUGCAGAAAAAAACGCAGCAUCAUGGAAAACGCGACCUUAGGUCACGUUUUCUUGAGGUCGCCUACUCUAUUCUACAAUUUUUCAACAGAAUACACGAGUACAGAAAACAUGACCUAAGGUCACGUUUUCAAAUGUAAGAUAGAAAACGCGAGCCUGAAAACACAAGCUCAAGCUCGCAUUUUCUACUCGCAUUUUUUAAGUUCUUUUAAGAAACAAAAAUGCAGGCUGCCUUAUUCUUCUUUUCUUCUUCUCCUCCUCACAUUUUCUCACACAUACUAACACACAAUUCACCAUUUUCCUCUUUUACUCAAUUUCCUUGUAAGAAAUCAUCAACAAAAUAUUAUUUGACCUUCAUAGAUCCUUUUUAACUAAUUAGAAUUCAGGAAAAAGAUCUCAAAAUUUGGUUGAAGGUUAGGGUUCAUAAUUUCUAAUUCCAUCAAUUGAAGGUCAAUUGGAGUGAUUUUCAUAGGACUUUUUGUAUCAUUUGUAUCACCAAACAUCACUCUACCAAUUUGAGAUAAAUUUCUUGAACUUAAUUUGGUAUUUUAAAAUUCACCAUUUGCAUAUCUUUUGAGUUUAUUGAAACACUUUGAAUGGCGAAUUUGUGAUGUUAUUUGUUGGUGUAUAUAAGUUCCAUUAUGCUUAUGUAACAUCUUUAAGCAUAUUUAGAUGAUCAAAUGUGGGAAUGUGAUGAUCUAUGCAAUGUUUCAAUUCAUGUAUAUUCCUAUUUUAUGAUCAAUGUAAUAAUUGGUCUUAGAAUAUUGUUAAGCAUAAUUGGAUAGUUCAAAUUGCUAAAAUGUGACUUAUUCAUGAUGCUUACAUGUCUACAUUCAUUACAUGGUGACAUUUUAGCAAAUUUGAAUUUGUAAACUUUAGAGAGUGGCUAGUUUAUCUAGUUAAAGGAAAAUGAUACAUUUAAAUGGAAAUUUAUUGCUUAAUUUUCAUAUAAAACAUCAUUGGAUGAAAAAUUUUGAAUAUGUGAAGAAUUUAGCAAUUUGUAGAAUUUUAGGAGUAAAAAAUGUGUGAAGUGAAGUGAAAUGUUUCAUUGUACCUUGAGUAGUUUCUUAUAUAUUUUAUAUGGGCACAUCACCACGACAAAGGCGUAGAAGUUACGGAUCGCCAUUUUGUGUUUAUUAAUACGUUUGUUAUCACUUUUGUUUCUCAUUUUUCAAUUCUUAGGUUUAAUUACUAAUGGUUAUCCAAUGGAACUAAUAAAGUUUUGGAAAUAAACGGACAAUGGUUUGUGACACUUCAUGACGCUUCAAUUAUAUCAAUAAGGGAGUAUUCCUUUUUUUUUAUUUCCCUUCUUACACAUUGAAAACAAUGUAUAUGUUAAGUGUUGGGGGGGAGGGAAUUGAGAUUAUAUGCAUCGUAUGUGAUUGAUUUGUUAGUUGCAAAUAUUGGACUUGUGCUUGAAAAUGUUAUCGGGUUUAAAAAUUUUUCAAAAUUGGGUUUGUUGGCAGGGAGUUUAGUCCAUUUAUAAGAUGAGACUCUCACAAAAUUUUUUCAAAAUCUUGUCUAAAAUUGUAAAAUUGUCCCAAAAGAUUUCAAAAUUUUUCAAUUUUAUCCAAGGGCAACAAGUUUCAUACCUUUAGUAAUUCAAAUUCCUUCUACUUUUAAGAUAAAUAUAUGUAACUUGACAACUUCUUUUCUCAUUUAACUUGAAAAUGACUAUUAUGUGAUUAUAAUUUGCGCAUUUAUAGGAAAGUAUCUUGAAAAAUGGAGAAAAUUAUGCCUAAAUUUUACAAAUUUGAUGAAAUUUCUUCUCUUUACUUAAUUUUACAUAGUUAAGUGAAAAUAUGGUCAAUAAGUAUAAUAUUCUUCUCAUGAUUAUUCUUUUGAGAGAAUGUUAUUAUUUUUGCUUUUGAAGAAAAAAAAGAGAGAAAAAAGGAAAAAAAAAGAAUAAAAGGAGAAUAAAAGUUGUUCUACUUUAAUGGUUCUUGUACUUAGUAAUCGGGAGUGUUUAUAUACAAAUAUUGAUUUUCGCGUAAAAGGGAACUAGAAUUAAGAGUAUGCAAGGCAACUUGAGGAUAUGAAGUGUUGAGUAACUGGCGAUUUUCAUCUAAAAAUGUCGAUUUUUGUGACAAAAGAUACUUUCACAACUUGAAUAAUAUUAGAUAUAUUAUAUGAAUAAAUCCUUUUUUGCAUCUGAAAAAGGUGAUGAUCAUGGGUUUAGAAAGCAUUUUUAUUCACCAUAUGACUCGCUUGUGAAAUUGGAAAAGGAUAAGAAAUUGACUUGAAUUAGUUACAAUUAUGGCAUAAUUAGCUCUCCUUUACUUGAUAUUAUGAGUACUUGAACUUGAUUGAAUGAUUGCAUUAUGGUUAUUUACCUUGUUUUGAGGAAAUGAAGUUGAACUGUGUACAUAUGUUUAAUUCCAAAGUUUUGGAUGAUUGUGGUUAGUAAUUCUUAAUUGCUUGAGAACAAGUAAUGGUUCAAGUAUGGGGGAGUUUGAUAAGUGUGUAUUUUGAGUGUUUUAAGUGUAUUUUAUUAACUAGUUUUGGUGUGUUUUAAUUAGUUUUAUAACUAAUUGACUAAGUUUCUAGUGAAAAUAUACAUUUUGUGGUUUAAGUAUCAAAAAUUACAUUUCUAUGAAUUUUAAUGGUAAAAACUUCAUAUUUUUCUAGGUUCAAUGAUUCAAUCAUCAAUUGAAGUGACUUGAAAAGAUAUUUGAAUGAUUGUUGAUGAUUUGAAGUGAUUUAAAGAAGAUAUGAAGUGCCAAAUGUUCAAAAGAGAAAAUGCAAUCAAGAAUAAAAGGAAGGGAGUUUUCUAACUUUGACACUUUGUGGUAUUUUGACUAUAUCUUGAGAUACAAGCAUUGGAUUGAGGUGAUUCUCAAACCAUUUUGAAGUUAAGACAUUUGUUGUGAAGACCUCAAAGUUCAGUUUAGUUGUUUUCCUUGUCAAAAUAUCGAAAUACAGAAGUGCAUUUUCAUUGUCAAAAGCUAAAAUAGAGUUCUGACCAGUCAAGGAUAUUUUGGUCAUUUCUCAGUCCACAGAGCUCCAAAUUGGAUGAUUCUUAAGGAAUUGGAAAGUUAAUGCAAAGGACUACAACUUCAUGCUUUGUAUAAGAGCUAGUUCAGCCUUCAUCAUUAAGAAAAUGUCAGUUGAAGUUGGACUAAAAACAAAGCAAAGAGAAGACUUGACCAGAAAUGAUAAAACCUGCAAAAGAGCAAAAUGUGGAUACAAUACGCAACCUUAGGUUGCAUUUUCGAGGUCGCAUAUUCUUCAUUUGCAGCUGAAACUUGCUCUACAACUUGUGCUUUAUUCACACAAGAUUUUUUACUACUUUUUUUGCAAGAAUUUCUGCUGGAUAGUGCUAAUAAGUAUGGAGACAUCAAGAAGCAAUCUUUUGAUGAUUUCAAGAGCCAACUAGCACCAACCUUAACUUGAUUACUUGGAGCUUUAAUCCUUUAUAAAUAGAGGCCUUUGGGGAACAUUUUCAGAACUUUAAGAAGACUAGAGAAACUUCACAAAAAUGUAGUUUUCAGUAGAAUUUUUUUAGUUCAUUAAUUAGAUUAGUAUAGUAUAAUUAGUGUAGCUUAUCCUUCUUGUAUUUGAUCUCAUAUGACAUGGGUGAUAUCUCUUCUACUACUUUCUCUUAUAUUUGAUUUCAUGUUUAGUUAUUAUACAAGUUUGGAUUUGAGUUUCAAUGAGUUUGUUUGGACAAGCCAAAUUUGGUUUGCAAAAUUUGUUUUCACAAAUCCCAAUCACCUUUUUAUCUUCCCAAUCACCUUUUUAUCUCACAUACAUCACAUCACAAAAAGUGCUACAGUAAAUAUCUCAAAUAAAUCAUCCAAAUAAACUCUUAUCCAAACAAACUCAUUAUGUGUUUCUAAAGUUUAUACCUAGAGUUAUGGAUGAACAUGUUAUAUCCUGUUAGUGAUAUUGACUUAGGUAUUUGAUGAUAUUAUUUUAAACAAGUUAUUUAUCGCUUUUACUUUUUUAAUCAUGAUUAAUCAACCAUUAAUUGUGAUAAUUUUAAGGUGUUAAGUUUGCAAUGAGAAUUGGGAUUUAACACUAGUUCAAAAAAAUGAUAAACCCAGCGAGUAUACUCAUGAGAAUAAAGGUGCACCUAUGUGGUUUUAGUGACUUAUUUCAUGUAAUUUCAUAGAAAAAAUGUACUUUAGUUGAUUUCAUAACCACGAGAGCAGGUAUGGUUUAAUUACAAGUAUAGUUGAUUUACUACGAAAGUAGAUUUCAUAUACAUUAAGAAAUUACGCCAUAACUAACCAAGAUUAUAGUAUUCAUUUAACCGAUAAUUCAUUAGCGAGAGUAGUUAGAAAUUUCAUACCUCUAGAAGCUUUAUAUUGUUAUUGUUAUUAUGUUUAUUUCAUGUUUGUAGUGCACAUUUAAUCUUUUACAUUUGUGGUAGUCUAAAUAAUAAAGGAGUUCGAAAGCUAUCAGUAAUUAAUAAUCUUCUCUGUGAGUUCAAAGAACGGAAGUCAGGAAUUUCAAUUUUUUGUAAUGGAGUCUGGUAGGAUACUUAGAAAAGUUAAGACUUGAAGGCGGAUUUCAAAAGUGGUUUAAAUGAUCUGAUAUUGCAUUGUUGCCCCAACCCUAUCAAAACUUGCACCAGUUUAUUAUCAAUUGAGGUUCUCUUCUUCUUUUUUUUUAUUUUCCCUUUUCCCCUUUUUUGGCCUUCUAGCAUUUCAUUCAUUUUUUGAAAUUUUUAAAAUUUGGGCCAGUUUAUUUUUAACUGAGGUUUUUUUUUUCAUUUCCUUUUGUUCCUCUAUCACUUUUCACCUCUUAAGGCUUUUCUUUCCUCUCUUUUCAACGCAAACUUACUCCAGUGUGGGGUUUGCGAUCCUUAGGGGUUGCCAAAUGAAAAUAAUUUAUUCUGAAGGUUCAAAAGGGAUAACUAGGGAUAGAAGGUUUGAUUGGAAAGGAAAAAGACCUGACUUUCAUUCCAUUCUCCGUAUUAACCCUGAAAGGAAACUUUCGUUUAUCAUAUUAAAUAUUUUUCACACAUAUCCGAAUUGAUCGGUUGAGGGAAAUCUUGUCCAUCCAUUUCUACAAGAACAAGUGCUCCACCAGGCAAUACCUUUUUGACAAUAAAAGAAUCUUGUCAAUUUGGGGCAAACUCUUCUUUUGGGCUCAUCUUGCACCGACAAAAGCUACUUCAAUGCUUUGUCUCCUUCUUCGGAUAGUUGCGGUUUGAUCUUCUUGUUUUAAGCACGGGCCAUUCUCUUUUGUUAACACUAAUCAUGACAAAUGGCAUUUAGCUGUUUCUUAUCAAGUGACUACUGACUUUUAUUUCUUUAAUCUUGAUCCCAAUUCGGCUUGAGUUUCUCUUUAUACCAUUUGGGCCUCUUUGAAAUAUUUUCAAAUGUCUCUUCGCUAUUCCUCUCAUUUUGAAAUCCAAAUUUACAUUCGUGAGAUUCGAGAUUGCUGUCAUCAAAUUUCGGAACAGUGAUAGUCAAAGGGUCAGAGGAUUUUAUUGUUGGCCAUCUGAAAAAAAUGCGUAAGUAACACAGUAUAUAUAAAACUAUACAGUUUAUUGAAUUUCAAAAUAAAGUUCAAACUUAAUAGCAUGUUACUUAUUAAACAAGACGUAUCUUCAAAAAUCACUUGAUUCAAAAUUAUUUACAAAAAUAUAGUUAAACAAAAGACACACACAUGAAUGAUUUUCAUAGAUUUUAACCAAAGACAAUUCCUCAAAUUUAUAAAAACGCCCUUCAAGAGGGAGGGAUCUCACUAGUUCAGGAUUUUCAAAUUACUUCAUUGGGGACAAAUGCCUCAAAGAUGUCCUUAUGUUCGGGACAGGGUUUUGUACUUAUGCUCGGUCCUUAUUCUCCCAUUUUCCUUAGCACUAUAUCUCCUGCUUCAAUCAUAUCCUGAAUUUUAUGUUUCAAUACCCAACAAUUAUUGACGGAAUGCCCAAGAGCUCCAGAAUGAUAAGUGCAGACGGCUUGAGGGUCAUAAUUAGGGGGAACACCCCUAGGAUAGAUCUUGGGAGGCAUAACAUCAAUUUUUCCGGCAGCUUUGAAUUGUUCGUUUAAUUGAUCAAUGGGUCAGCCCAGGUUGGUGAAGGUUCGAUAUGGGGUUGGGUUUCGAGUUUCACUGUUUAGAGGAUAAGUUUGGUUAUUUGGUUGAACAGGUCUUGGAUUAUAAGGAGAGGAGGUCGAGUUUGAAAAUUGGGUAUUGGGACGAGUAGUAUAAAUGGGUUUGCAUAAUUUGGCCGAGGUCGAGGGUGAUUGAUAGUAGUAUGGUAAAUAGGGCGUGGGUUUGGAUAAUAUGGGUAGGGUGAUGAAUAUGUGGGGUAUUGCUGAAAUCUAGGUUGGGAAGAAAAGCCUUAGUCCCAGACUAAUGCGGCUUCCCCAUCUUUCUUUUUGAACUGAGGCGUCUUGCUACUGCUUCUUGCAUUUUGCAAGGCUUCUAAUUGCGAUUUCAGAGCUGACACAUUAACAAUCUUUCCCGCUCUUACAAACUCAUCAUAUUCGUUCAAUUUGUUGACAAUUUCUGCAAACAAGCAUCUAGUCAUGCAAAAAUUUCCUCAAAAGAGGACAGGUCAUGAGUUUUGAUAAAUGUUUGAACAAUUUCAUCCUCGGUUAUAGGAGGUUCCACCUUGAUAGCCAAUUUCCUCCAUCGCUUCGCAUAAGUCUUGUGAUUCUCAGAUGGUUUCCUUUUAGUGCAUUUAAGCGUGGUUCUCGUUGGAGCAAGUUCACAAUUGUACUCGUAUUGUCUCACAAAAGCAGUUGACAAAUCCAACCAUGUUCUCAUUUCUUCAGGCUUUAAAUUGGAAUACCAAUCCAGGACAUCGCCUUCCAAGGUCUCCGGGAAUAAACGUAUUGGCAAAUUUUCAUCAUAUACUGGCUUUUCCAACUUAUUUGCAAAUAGUCUUAGAUGCGUUUUGGGGUUACCAGUUCCAUCAUACUUACUAAAUUUGGAUGUUUUAAAACCCAAAGGCAAUUGCAUGUCCGGAAAAAGACACAACUCAUCAUAAUCCAAAACUCCAGGCUUGCUCAAUCCUUGAAUUUUUCUUAUGAAUUCAUCAAAUUUAUUUAACCUUUUCAACAGAUUUUUGUCUAUUGGGGGUGGAGGAUUCACCCUUUUUCACCUUUCCUUGCAUAGCAGCAUCCAGCAUGAAUGGCUCAGUGGUGGUGUGAUGAACUAUUUGAGAGUUUGGGUAAUUCUGAAACAUUUGAAUGCUGGCCAGGUUGACUUGGAUGUUAUGAGGGUAAUUAUAUGGAAAACUGGAAGCAGGGUAGGUGAAAGUCUUUUCGGGUAUAUUUGCAAAGGAUGGUGCAAAGGUAACUUGGGUAUGAGAUAAAGGAGAUGGUUGGUGUUCUAUUUCAGGUUGACUAAUAGGCAUGGGAUCAUGUUGGAUAUCGCCACUGCUAGCAACCAGUUGGUCAAUCAUGCGCCUUUGGGUUGACAUUUCCACGCUCAAUUCAUUGAAUUUGUUUAACAUCUCACUCAGUUGAACUCCCAAAUUUGCAGUGUCUGCUGGAGGUGUCGUGGUGGACCGGUCAGAUGAUUUCGGAUGUGCACUCAUGUUUACACGGUUUCUCAAAACUCGACUGCGAGAUCGUGUGACGAUGGGGUUUCUUCUUAUAGUUAUGUUUACAAUUACCUGAAAAUUUAGGAAAACCCUAUUUAGAUUCCCUUCUUGAUUAACUGCUGUCAAAAGAAAGAAAAAGAAAAAGACACGAGUUAGUACAAAUUAAAGUAAUUCGAAUGCACGUUCUAUUGGGGGAGCCCUUUUUGUGCCAAGGGUAGCCCUAACAUGAGAAUGCAAUCCUUUAGGGUAGGCACGUACAAUACCUGAUGAAUCCGAUCAACUUAUUGAUAUUCAAGUGAAAACCAAUUUGAAAGAAUUUGACCAAUUGGAGUGAGAAAACACAUAUGUCCUAACAAAAUGAGAACAAAGUCCGAAUGGAUUGAUUACUUUGAUUAAUACUUAAAGUGAUGUGUGAAAGAGCCUACUCUUGAAAGGAUUGCAAUGCCUUGACUAGUUUAUUUAGUGAACCUUAGAUCGAAACCCUAAAAGAGAAUAAACGGGUCAAAUAGAUCGGAUGAAAUUGAUGAACUUUGCUGGAUCGCCCUAAAAAUGGGUAAACUGGUCAAAUGGAUUAAAUGAAAUUGAUGAUUUAUUCAAAAUUCACUGGAUCACCCUAAAAAUGGGUAAACUGGUCAAAUGAAAUUGAUGAUUUAUUCAAAAUUGAUUGGAUCACCUUAAAAAAUGGGUAAACUAGUCAAAUGAAAUUGAUGAUUUAUUCAAAAUUGACUAGAUCACCCUAAAAAUGGAUAAAUUGGUCAAAUAAAAUUGAUGAUUUAUUCAAAAUUGACUGGAUCACCCUAAAAAAUGGGUAAACUGAUCAAAUGAAAUUGAUGAUUUGUUCAAAAUUGACUGGAUCACCCUAAAAAAUGGGUAAACUGGUCAAAUGAAAUUGAAGAUUUAUUCAAAAUUGAUUAGAUUGUCCUAAAAAUGAAUGAAUGGAUUGAGUUAAUGAUUUAUUAAAAAAUGACUAAAACUUGUUCUAAAAGUGAAUUGAUCUAAUGAUUUUGUGCUAGUGCCUCUUUCUUCUUUUUUUUUCAGUUGGCCAAAACCUACUUGGCUCGCGACUUUCCUUUUUUUUUUUUUGAGUUGCUGAAGCUUUCAGCAAUGGCAUACAAUAGUAGCGGCUCUCCCCCUCCCCUUCUUUUUUUAUAACUUUUCAACAUAUUUGGGUAAACCCUAUUCAUCCCAUAAUUAAAAUUUAAUACUCUAAUCCUACUAAUCCAGAUAUGAAUCCUCCUAAAUCUCUCAUACAAGCAUAUAUAUAUAUAACAUAAUACAUAGCCGUAAAAUCUUUAGAAUAAUUAAUGCGACUAAUUGAACUUAAAAGAGAAGUUUUCACGUGAAUUUGGGACUUACAGGUUUAGGUGCCUAGUUGCCCAAUUGAUUGAUAGCGACGUCAUCUUCUCCUUCUCUACUUUCUGACGGCUCUUGCUCUAAGGGGAGGCAGACAAUGAAAGGUAGGAAUGAUGUUUUUUUUCUUUGUUAUUUUGAUAAGUGCGCUAAACCCUAAUAACCACCCACUAGUAGAUGGGUUAGAUAAGAGUUUAAAUGUUAUGAACUUUUACUCUAUUUUAUCUCAUUUCUAUCCUCCAAUUAACCCUUUAAUCUAUCCUACACUUACUUUUACUUUUACUCAUAGUAAAUUACCAUUUAGUUAAUUGGGCAAGAAUUAAAAAAAAAUGAGCCAAAACCGUGGGUUUUACAUUCUACCCCCCUUACAAAAAGUUUCGUUCUCGAAACUUACGUACAUUGAUAAAAAAGAUAGGAAUAUCUAUUUUGCAUGUCUUCUUCUAACUCUCACGUUGCCUUUCGCAGUGUAUGGUUCAACCAUUGUACCUUCACGUAGGGUAUGGUCCUUCUUCUUAGAACUUGAUCCUUCCGAUCCACGAUUCUUAAAGGGACUUCCUCCACUGACAAGUUCUCCCUCACCUCGAUGGGUUAAUUCUCGGGUCUGACACAUACUUUCUUAGUUGGGAGACAUUAAAAUCGUUAUGUAUCCUGAACAGAACAAAUGGAAGAGCCAGUCGAUACGCUAAAGGUCCAACUCUCUCCAGUAUUUCGUAAGGUCCUAUAUACCUUGGACUUAACUUGCCACUUUUUCCAAACCUCAACACUCCUUUGGUGGGGAAUACUUUCAAAUAUACCUUUUCUCUCGAUUGAAAUUCUAAAGGCCUUCUCUGUAAAUUCGCCCAAUUUCUUGUUUCGGUCCUGAGUUACUUUUAGUCUCUCUCAAAUAACUUUAAUCUUCUCCAAGAUUCUUUCCACCAAAUUGGGUCCGAUGAUCAACUUCUGAUAGGUCAUAAUUUGUUGCUAAAUUUAUAAUUAUUUUCCCUUUGAUUUUUAGCCAAAUAUUAUUUUAAUUGUCGAAUUCUACUUAUAUUUGGUGUUUUAUAUUAUUUGCAGGGCAUUGGAGUAAAAAGUGCUAAAGAGAGGUAAUUUUCUUAGAGUUGAUUGUCAAGCGUAAGUGUUCCAAUUCAAGAUGGAGUCUAUGUGGAGCAUUGGUUGAAGAUCAGGAAACUGCCACCUUUUAUUAGAUAUUUUAUUAGGGAAUAAUUAGCAUUAUUUUUUAGAAGGUUUCCCUUUUUCAAUUAGAAUUGGAGUUUUAAUUCUUUUGCGGGCCUUUAGUUAGUGGAGGCCAAGAUAUUAGUACUUGAUAGGAAACAAAGCAAAUAAGAGGAGAAAAAGCCGGAUCCCGCAGGAUGAGGACUCAGCUAGGUAUCUCACAUGAUUACUACUUGGCCAGGGAAUAAGAAAAGAGAAGAAGGCAACCGCUUGGCUCUCUGCUCCGCAGAGUAGUUCUUUUACUAUCGAACAUUGACGCAAUUUCGUGGAGGGGACUUGCGUGAGUUACUCUCAAUGGAGAGUAACUAAUCUUGUUUUCUAGUCAAUGGACAAUUGAAGAUUUGGUUCAACAAUAACUGUGAGAUCUAAAUUAUUUUAAUUGUUUCCUUCAUUUAUUGGUAUUUGUAUACUUUCUGCUUUUAAUUGUUGUUAUAACUAUCGUGUAUAAUUGAAUAAAUGCGCAAUAUUUAAUUAUUCACGUAGGCUAUUUGCUAAUUGAGGGUAGUUGAAUCCGUAAUUGUUCGAUUACCUCUGUCCUAGUAGCAACUGGCAUAAUUGGAUUUAUGUCAGGGAAACAUACGAUCUAAUUUAAAUAAACCGUCGUAGCGUGUUUAUUAGUUAGGAUUGGGCCUUUCUAAACCUUAAUGCAAUCUAGAAAUUAAAUCCUACGGUCAUACCUAGGGUUGUUUCUUGGUUAGAAAAAUAGUUAAAGGUCGUACCUUAACUAUCGAGAAAUUAAGAAAAGGCUGGUUGUUUAUCGCGUGUAUGACAACUAUAACCGAUCUAUUGAUAACUGUUGGAAUUAUAUUUGCAUCGAUGAUCAGUUGCAUGAACCAUUUCUGAAAUGUAUCCUUGGCUAGAGUCUCUGCAGUUAUUUCUGUCAAUUAAUUAUUUUUUGCAUUUAAUUUAUUUAGUUAGCAUUUAAUCCAAAAAUCCUCCAUGCUCUGAACUCUAGAAGAAAUGAAUUAUCCCCAAUCCCUGUGGAUUCGACCCUACUCACCGCUAUAUACAAAAUUUGUAUUUUUCUCGAGUAGGUAUUUAUUAUUGCACAGGCUCGACACCUGUCAAUUUUUAGUGCUGUUGCCGAGGACUGGUGCCUGAUUAAUUUGUUUCUUUUUGAGUUAAUCUUGUUUUCAAUUUUUUUUAUUUUUCUCUUAUUUUUUUUAUAUAUAAUUUAUGGCUGCUAACAUUCCGUAUUUUGGUGAUAGACUGAAUUUUAUUUCUAGAAGGGGUUAUGAGGCUUAUGCUUUUUCUAAUAAUCAAUGGACUGCUACAAAUUGUGAAAUUUAUUUUUUCUCAAAUCAUUCAAUCGACAUAUACCAUACAUUUCAAGAUGGUCUAAGUGUUCCAAUUGAUACUUUUGGAGAUUUUUUACCUCAAUAUCAAACGUGGUAUGACCCUUAUUCAAAUGGGUAUGAGCAAGGGUGGUGGGAUGAUUCCAAUUUUAAUUAUGAACAAAGGCCAAUAGAUUUUCAACAGUUAGAGUCUCAAGAACUGUCAUCCAUGUCAGGUAUGUCUCUUAAAGAAAUAGUUGAAUUAAUAGCUACUAACACAUAUCAAAUUCAACAGGAGACACAUCAAAUUCAACAGGAGACAAUGGAUUUUCAUCAGGAGACAAUGAUUUUUCAUCAGGAGACACAAGCGAGCAUGCGUAACCUGGCAGAUCAAGUUAAUCAAUUGACAUAUAGGAUAACACAAUUGACUUCUCAAAUGUGUGAAGAAUUGCCCUCACAGACUAUUAUAGAUCAUGAGGAAGAUGAGAGUGCAAUUAUCCUGACAAAUGACAUGGAGCUGCAAGAAUCUCAAGAAGAAGAAUCUAAAGAUGCAGUUGAAAAUGGCAUUGAAGUGCAAGAAAUGAGACCUCAAUAUCAAAUUGUUCAAAUGAAUGAAUCCAGUGAACAAUCUCCAAAUGCGGUGACAUCUCCUCCAUUUCUUAAUCAAUAUCCUCAUGACUCUUGUUCUUUAAUUCCUGUUAGUGAGAUUGAGUUUAUUAUACCAGACGAUUUUGAGUUUCAUGAUAGGAAUAAGUUAAGAGUUACAAUGACAGAAUAUUUCGAACCAAUAAGUGCUCGUGAUGGAGGAGUGAGUGAAGAUUUAAGGUCAUCACUUGUUUGUUUGGCGCCAUCUACUAAUCCAUGGAAGACCGUAUCUCGUGUGUUUAAAAAUUACUCUAUUUACGAGAGAUAUCAGGACUACAUAGAAGAUGAAGCGCUGAAACGAGUUACACGAUUUUAUCCUCCGUGAAUAAACAGGGCAAUGUCUAACCAAAGACAUUAAAGAAAGGCGCUGCUUGGGAGGCAACCCAAGGCCUUUGUUUUAGUUUCCUUAUAUUUUUGGAGUUUUUGUUAAGUGUUAGUUGCAUUUAGUGAUUUGUUUCUUUUGUGGCAGGAAGCUGGUAGUUGGGCGUGCCCGCGUCUAGUAAGCACACCUAAGGAAUGCAAGUAUUUUUUUGCGGUCAGAAGACUACUUAGUAGUUAGACGUGCCCACGCUUAAGGGAGGCAAUUUUCAUUUGCGGUCAGAAGACUCUAUAGUAGUUAGGCGUGCCCACGCCAAGUGGUCACGUGUAAGGAACUUAAUUUCUGAAAAUUGGUCAGAAGACUCUCUAAUAAUUAGGCGUGCCCACGCCAAGUGGUCACGUCUAAGGAACUUAAUUUCUGAAAAUUGGUCAGAAGACUCUCUAAUAAUUAGGCGUGCCCACGCCAGGUGGUCACGCUUAAGGAUCUUAAUUUCGGACGGUUGGUCAGAAGAUUCGAAGGCAGUUAGGCGUGCCCACACCUAACACAGGGGUUCCUUUAUUCAAAAAAAAGUCCCUCACUGCCUGUUCUCAUCUUUGUUCAAACAAAGGAUAAAAGGAAGAACCGACCAAUUUCACCUAUGUUAUAGCUGCUCGAGAUCCUCCAUUACGUGCUCAGGGAAGUUUCGUUGUCCCUUUUGUUUCGUAUUAUAUUCUUUAUCUCUUACAUUGGGGAUAAUGUAAGAUUUAGGUGUGGGGAGAGUAGUAUAUUGGUAUUUUAUUGAAAAAAUGCAAGUGUAGGCAUUUUUGUUGGAUUUUUUUUAUUCGACUUUGUCGAAUUUUAUCCAAUUUUUGCCUAUUUUUGUGCAUAUUUGUGAUUAUUAUUGAUAAACGAUGGUUAGAUGUCUCAAAUUUUUCUAUUGCUAAAAUUUUACACUCUAGGGUAUUGAGUAUGAUAUGGUUAAGUUUAAGGGUAUCUCUUUAGUGAAUAGUUAAGAUUUUGUGACUUUUGCACUUUUUGAUUAACUUCUCUAAGUAUUGUAAAUAUUUGUCUAGCAUUUUUUUAUGUAAAUUGGUUCAACUAUUAAUCUUGGUUCUCCAUGAUUAAGAAAUGAAGCGGGCUUGUGUGAUCUUUAAUUUUAUUUUUGAUGUUUAUUUGAAUCAUAUUUGGCUAUACUCCGCUAGUAUUGUUGCCUAGUAACCGGAGAUUUUCACCACAAGUGUUGACUUUCGCGUCAAAAAGUGACGAUAACUAUGAGUAUGUGGUCCCUUAGCGAUGAUGGCUGAAUAACCGGGCUCCUUCAUUUGGCCAAUGUCGGAGUUCGCGUCAAAACGCUUAAAUGACUAAAGACUAAGCAUUCCCCAUGAAGAAAAAAAUCAAUCAAGUUUGGGGAUAUUUUAGAAAAAAAGUGCUAAUAGUGAAAAAUGUGAAUGAAUUGUUAGCCCGCUGAUCCAUGAAGUUUAAUGUUGAGAUUUUGCUUAAUAGUCGAACCAUUUACUUAUGGAUGCUGGUUGAAUAUUUUAUAUUUUUAGAUUAGUUGGUCAUAAAUUGAAAGAGUCAUUGAUCUUGAAAACUAAUUGGAGAGAUAUUUCUUGCAAAUUGCCCCUAAUACUUGACAUGUGUUUAAUUGUAUAUUGGCAACAGAAGAUUUGGGUAAUACCAUUGUUUGAAUUUGAUCACUUGAUUUGUGUUCUCAUGCUUGAGGACAAGCAUGGUUUAGGUGUGGGAGAAAUUGAUAGGUCAUAACUCUCUCUCAAAUAACUUUAAUCUUCUCCAAGAUUCUUUCCACCAAAUUGGGUCCGGUGAUCAACUUCUUACCUAUUUCAUCCCAAUAUAAGGGAGAUCUACAUUUUUGCCCAUAUAACAUUUCAACGAUGCCAUACCUAUUCCUCUAUGAUAGCUAUUGUUAUACGAGAAUUAUAUUAGUUUUACCAACCUAUCCCAACUAUCUGAAAAGUCUAGAGCACAAGCUCUCAGCAUGUCCUCCAGUGUCUGUAUGGUCCUUUCUAACUGUCUGUCCAUUUGGGGGUGAAGGGCGGUAUUUAGUCUUAGAUCAAUCCCCAUAACCUCUUGGUAGGUCAACCAAAAUCUAGACAUGAAUCUAGGAUCCCAAUCUAGCACUACUUUCACAAUUCAUUUUUAGACUAGAUAUCACAUUCUCUCCCCCUAAAAAGGUUUCAUCCUCGAAACCUAAAAGAUAUAAACAUCAAAAUAAGUUAACAAAAUUCCCAAUAUUCUUGCAAUACAUCUUAGGAAUUAUUCCUACAAUGUCUAAAUUGGAUUUUCUUAUUUAAUUCCAUCAAACUUCUGCUGCACACUCUCAUUUUUCUCAAUACCUCUCAUCUUCAUAUUUAUAGAGAUCAGAUGAACAGAAUAUCUCUCACAAAUCCAACAUUCUAAAUAUUAGCUUAUAAUGCUACAUAGAGAUCAACCUAUAGAAAGGAUGCCAAAAACACUAACAUUACCAUUUCUUCUUUUGUCAUACAUUUUUUCACAACUUACUUAUCCACUAUUGCAAAAAGUAAUCAUUAUCUCGAUAUAUGGGUUCCUGCCUAUUGUAAUUGGUAAUGAAAAUCUCUUAUUUCCUUCAAAUCCCAUAUCUAUCUAAUUUCAAAUUUCAAAAAAAAAAAUCAAUAAUACCUCAAAUAGCAUCACACCUAUUUUCAAAUCCUAUAACCUGAGUUGUUAUAUCACUAAAUGCCAUGGAAAUCUUAUUUCAUUUGAUCAUCAUUUUUUUUUAUCUCAAUUCAAUUUCCAAAACAAUAUUCAUAUUACGGUAGAACAUACCAAAACACACAAAAUUUUAUACAAAAAUUAUCGCCAAAUUCUCAUAUUUGAAUAUAAUAACUUCAUCAUAACUUUGGUAAAGUAUUUAUCUAUGCGUAGAAUUUCGAACUCAUACAAGUUUAGAAACCUGAAAGUGUUUGAAACACAUAAGUUAGUUAAUUGUACUUCUUAUACCAUUAGAACUUAGAGUACGAAGAGAAUUUAUUAAAAAUUAUUGUUAGAUUCUUUCUACAUGAUAUGAUUUUUUUUUUAUGUAGAACACGUUUAUCUAUAGCUCGUUUUGAGAUUGGAUGAGUAUCAUAAAGACAUUUUGUACAGGGUUCUGGGAUACAAUUAUUUAUGGUGAUUAUUCACCUUUAUUGUUAAUUUAUGUAUCUUUGUGUAUACAUAUUUAUAGAAAUUAUACUUAUUUGAUAAAGAUACUUAUUCAAAAAUCUUGAUUAACAUUUGUUCGUGAAAUAAUUUUUUUUUAAGACAAGAACUAUGUAAGAUUAUGUAUUCUAAGAAAUUUCUAACAUAUUUAUUGACCAAGCACAGUGUAAUAAUGCCAAUAAACUAAUUCAAUAAUUAUCUGGGGCAUGAGAUCUAAUCGUUGUAAAUCUCAAAAAGAGACAAGUCUAUUCACUCUUGGCCAUAUCUCCCACCGAAUGAGUACUAUUGCUAGACUUAUCAAUUUGUAUGGGAUAAGGCCAUACACCUGUUAGUUGUCACCAGUAGUGGUAAUAAUUCAAUUAGAGUAAAAUGGUACCAGCAUUAGUAGUACUUCUAUCCAGGUAAGAGCACUAUUUAUAGAGCUCUAUUACAAAAAGAAAAGGUUCGCAACAUUUCAUUCUUCAUCCUUUGAAAUGGUUUCAUCCGUGAAGCCUAAUCCCACGUCAAGAUAAGUCUAUAUAACAUCCCAUAUCGUUGUUACCCAUCGUGCAAUUAAUUCUACACAACUUAAACUGGGUCUCUUUAUUCACUCCAUCACACUUGCUACGUACUUUUAAUUCCUUGACACUUUCAAUUUCCUAUAGACAGUACUUCAAAUAUAUAUAAUAUUUCCUACACGUCCAACAUCUUAAACUUAGAUUGUACUACCAAAAUCAUAUUCAACAAAAGGACAUCAUAAACACCAAUAAUACCAUUUCAACUUAAAUAACACAUACAAAUUUUCAAGCCUAUUUAUUCAGUCACAAUUGAUCAUUUUCUAGUGUGUAUUUCCUCUAAAGAAUAAAUCGUACCCUACGCUCUGUUAUCACUAAAUAUUAUGGAGCUCUCUUAUUUCACAAUCCUCUAUCCAACCUCAUUCAAAUUUCUAAAAUCACUAAUAUUACAAACAUCAUUCAACAUACAUCUAGAUCGUAUAAUCUAAACUUUGAUAACAUUAAAUAUCACGAGAAUCUCUUAUUUCCUUUAAUCCACUUUUUUUUCAUCUCAUUUCAAUUCUUAAAGUUUCUAAUACCUCAAACACCAUUUACAUACUUCCGGAUCAUAUAACCUAAGCUCUGAUACCACUAAAAAUGUCAUAGGAAUCUCUUAUUUCCUUUUAUCUGUUUUUAUUUUCAAAAUCAUUAAUAUCUAAACAUCAUUUCUCAUACUCCCAGACCAUAUAACCUAGGCUCUGAUACCACUAAAAAUGUCACGCCCCGAGGCCGCACGCGCUAGUCAUGUGACAUUUGCCAUAUCAUCAAGUCUCGUUCAAGAAUACAAGGCAACAUCGAACUAGACUAAAUUCAAAAAGUACUAAAUAGUAUAACUAAAGAAAGUGCGGUACAAAUUUCCAGUGAAGGAUAGUCUACGAAUAUUCAAUAAGUUCGUACAUUUAUUCUCUAGUAGAAAUAGCGGAAACAAAAGUAAAUAAAACUAACAACUAGAAGUAGCUAGCAUGCUAACUUCUGUUAACUUAAAAACUAAUAAAAGUCCUCCUCAGGGUCUUCUACGUAAAUCAACUCAUACUUUUCAGAAUCUGCAAAGAUGGUAAAAAGUGGGUUGAGCGAAAAGUCGUUUAGUAGGUAAUAUCUACCCCUAUGUUGAACCAUGCACUCAUAACUUUAUAGAUACGUACAUAUAUAAAUCAAAUUAUUUUCACAUUAUUCACAUCAAUAAUCAUGAAAAUAAUGUUAUGGGUAAAACAAUUAGUAGUAACGAGUGACAAAGCAAUUUCAAAGCAUCUUAUUGGUAAUCGCAGAUGAAAGUCAUAAAGUCAUAGAUAAUUUCAUAUCAAUUCAUAAGUCUCUUCAUAUCAGCUCACAAUAAGCACAUGUAAUGACCGACUAUUGAGUACUCAGACUAGAGAUUAAACCCAUUAGGUGGGCGACCAAUAGGUUUCAUGACUACCGAUUGGUCUCAUUACAUAUAUGGGUCAAUCGACCGGACUCUAUACCAAACUACCAUGAUCUUGUCAAUCGGCCGGACUCUAUACCAGGAUACCAUGACCAUUAGACACGACUAUAACCCCUACCGUCUAUUCCAUGACUGUUUUGAGCUUUUCUUGACAUAAAUUCAUUUCACACGUCAUAUGCAUAGUUCUUGAUUUCAUAAAAGGUACAGCUUAUUUGGUAUAUAAUAACAUAUCAAGAAGUUUCAAAUAAGUCACAUGGUCCAUUUUUAUAUAGUCAAAAUAGAACUUCCUUAAACAGUCAAGUAAAUCAUUCAAUCAAAACAAUUCAAAUUAACACGUAAAAAUAUAAUCGAUGACAAAAAUUUUACUUUAAACUUUUGAAAUUUCAGAAGGAUAAGUACCAUCUACCUUUAUCUGGCUGCUCGAGUAAAACUACCUUAGAUCUUUUAAACUUGUAUCGUACAUAUCAAAUGCAUAGGUAUUCUAAUUAGUUGAUAUUUCUUAUAAAUGCAUAAAUAUACUAACUCUGAGUAAAUUUAAAAUUCAUGUCUAAACCAUUAUAUGAACCCUAGUAGAGUUUUUUUCCUAUAUUGAGAAGUUUCUAUUUUUGAAAAGUUUCUUAAUUUGGAAGGUUUUCCUUUUUUGUAAAGUUUCCUAAUUUAGAAAUAAUUAUUUGUAAUCACAUUUAUUAUCUUGACCAUUGUACGUAUUUAACUAUACAUAUAUAUUUAUUAUUAUUUUAUUAUUCAUUGUUAUUGUUGUUGUCCUUGUCAUCACUAUUUUAUUUUAUUAUCAUUUAUAUAUAUAUUUGUUAAUUAGUUACUAUUAUCUUUUGCUUUACUUCCUUUUUUUUUGCGCAUGUGUAGGUGUUAUUAUUAUUUAUAUGUAUAUAUAUUGGCUUAUUAUUAUAAUUAUUUCCUUAGUUUAUUUCACUUGUAUUUAUAUUUUCAUUUUAAUCUUUAAUUUACUUCAUCUAUAUCUAUAUUGUCAUUAUUAUUGUUAUUAUUUUAAGCAUUUAAAAGAAAUCUAAAACCUAUCUUAUAUUGUAUAACUUAAUCUAAUAGUGAUAGAUUAAAAUGUCUUAGAUUUCUAUUUAAAUACCUUAGGCCUAAUUAAAUAAGCCCGAUUGGCGAAAUCUUUUAAAAUAUUCACUUAAUUUAGGUUGGGUCUGGAAAUUUAGUUUCUAUGUUAGUCCAAAAAUGUGGGUUGAUUAUACCUAAAAUUUAAUUAUUGGACAUUCACUUAACCCAUAUUAUAUAUAUAUAUAUAUUUUUUCAGAAUCUAUUACUAUUAAUAUGAUUUUUUUUUUGGUUUCGGCCAACCUUUCUAAUGGAGCCUCUGUCGCCAGCACUUGCUGGCAGAUUUUUUUUUUUUUCUUUUGGUUGGCCGAAAGGUUUCGACCAACCUUUCUAAUGGAGCCUUAAGUGCUAGCGGCUCUUUCUUUUUUUUUUCGGUUGGCCUUUUCCUACUUGGUCCAUGUCGCUAGCCACUUGCUGGCGACUUUCCUUUUUUUUUUUUUUUGCAUUGCUGAAGCUUUCAGCAAUGGCGUGCCGCUGCUCUCCCCCUCCCCUUCUUUUUUUUUAUAACUUUUCAACAUAUUUGGGUAAACCUUAUCCAUCCCAUAAUUAAAUUUAAUACCCUAAUCCUACUAAUCUAGAUAUGAAUCCUUCUAAAUCUCUCAUACAAGCAUAUAUAUAUAUAUAACAUAAUACAUAGCCGUAAAAUCUUUAGAAUAAUUAAUGCGACUAAUGGAACUUAAAAGAGAAGUUUUCACGUGAAUUUGGGACUUACAGGUCUAGGUGCCUAGUUGCCUGGUUGAUUGAUAGCGACGCCUUCUUCUCAUUCUCUAAUCUCUGACGGCUCUUGCUCUAAGAGGAGGUAGAGAAUGAAAGGUAGGAAUGAUGUUUUUUUUUCUUUGUUGUUUUGAGAAGUGUGCUAAACCCUAAUAACCACCCACUAGUACAUGGGUUAGAUAAGAGUUUUAACUGUUAUGAACUUUUACCCUAUCUUAUCUCAUUUCUAUCCUCCAAUUAACCCUUUAAUCUAUCCUACACUUACUUUUACUCUUACUCAUAGUAAAUUAUCAUUCAGUUAAUUGGGCAAGAAUAAAAAAAAAUGAGCCAAAACCGUGGGUUUUACACUUAAAUAGCAGAAUUUUUCUUAAAUGGGUAAAAUACCAAAAAACUCCUUAUGGUUUACUAAAUGUUUAAUUUAACUCCCUCUGAUUUGAAAACCUACACUAUAACUCCUUGUGGUUUGAACUAAUUUGAAAAUUGGACGGAAAGUGUCCAAUCUAACUGCUAUAUGUGAAAUGUCAAUAUUGCCCCUGUAUAAAUGAACUCCCUAUAGUUUGUCGAAUGUUCAAUUUAACUCCCUCUAGUUUGAAAAAUUACACUAUAACUACCUAUGAUUUCGACUAAAUUGAAAAUUGAAUAGAAAGCAUCGUACAUAUAGUGGGGCAAUAUUGACAUUUCACACACAACCGUUAGAUUGGAUGGUUUCUAUACAAUUUUCAAUUUAGUGAACACCAUAGAGCGUUAUAGCGUAGGUUUCCAAACUAGAGGGAGUUAAAUUGAACAUUUAUCAAACCACAGGAAGUUUUUUGGCAUUUUACCCUUCUUAAAUCCGUGUACUAACUGGCUACACAUGUGUGUGAAGUGCAUUUGAAUUGACAGAAAAUCUAUCAACUGCUCAAAGAGAAAGCCACUUCACGCACAUACGUAGCCAGUUGGUAGACGGAUUAAUGAAAGAGAAAGGCACAACCAAUGAGAACGAGACACAAAGUAACUGGUAUGCAUAACACUGAAAAGUUGUAUUACUUCUUCCAUCCCAUUAAAAGUGUAAUACCUUCUAUUUUGAAACAUUCCAAAAUGUUUGUCAAAUUAAAGUCACUUUUGAUUUUUUUUCAAUGUUGUCCUCAUCUUUAUCGAUAUUUUAUACUAAAUUCAAAUUUAAAACUUGAAUUUUUAAAGGUAAUUUUGGAAACGAAUCCUCUAACAACAGUAUCAAUCCACUAUUAUUAAAAAGUUGAAAUCCUAAAAUGCAACAAACAUUUCUAAGAGAGUAUAAUUCAAAGAAUUAUAUGUCAAACGUAGGCACAACAUGUUUUGUCCAUGUGAAACGUGACACAUAACGUCCAAGCUGAAAUGAAAACGUGUUAGUAGCGUAGAGCACUAAUAGGCAGUGUUUUGAUACCUAAGUUGAAUCAGCCGGUUCAACCGGUUAGAUCGCGAACCAAUCACGGCUCCAGUCCUAGCACCUUCCACUUACAUCAUUUUCACACUUUUUUAGGGACAUUUGAGGGGAUGUUGCAGCAACAUUUUGGGAGCUCCAAGACCGCUUUUUCUUGAUUCUCUGGCAACAAGAAACAACUAGAAAUAUAGGAGUAAAGACUUAGUUUUCUUGAACAUAUUUCUCUAGUUUUUUUAGUUAGCUUAGUCUUUCAUUUUUCUUGGAGAAUUCUUGGAGAACUCUUGAUGUGCUCAAUAUUUUGAAGACAAUGAAGAUAAUGGAAAUUGAAAACUCUUGUUUCUUCAAUUGAAUGAGUAAUUUUUUCACUCCUUCUUUCUUUAUUGUUGGAUUUAUGUUUGGUUGCUGAUAAGUUACAUUUUUGUUAUUAAAUUUGUGAUUAUUUCCCCCUUGAUUUUAGCCAAAUAUUGUAUUAAUGGAUAAAUUCUACUCAUAUUUGGUAAUUUGUGCUAAUUGUAGGAAUAUGAUGAGAAAAGGAGUAAAAAAUGGUUUAAUGAAAAUUUUUAGCCAGUUCUUUGUGGGCCCGUUCAAAUCCUACUAUCAAGUCUCGGAGGCUCGAGAUUUUACUACGAGCGGUAGUAUCCCAGUUCGAAUGGAAGUUCUUCGAAGCAUGUUUCCUUAUCUGAGAUAAUUGGUCUUUCUUUUUGUAUUAAGAAACAAAUAGGUUAUAUUUUGUCAAUUUAGGGAAUCUCCUUUUCUUUGAAGAAAAUUAGGAAGUAUUAGUAGUUUAGGAGAGUAAGAGACGUGAGAACAAGGAAGUCUUCUUGUUUGCGUUGGCUUUAAAAAGUCAUGGUUGUUUUUAGCGAAAGGGGUGAUUAGUCUUGGCAGUCAGCACCAAGGAAGAACGAAGAGUUUUUCUCUUCGUCUUUUCUUUUCUAUUGCUCCUUCUGUUGUCGAACCUCAGGCAACUUUCGUCAACGAAAUUGCCUGAGUUAUUUUCAAUGGAAAGCAACUAAUCCCUUUUUCUAGUCAAGGGUCAAUUUGAAGAUACGGUUUCAAAUAUCUAUGAGAUUGAAUUAUUUUUAUUUAUUUCUUUUAUUCAUUAGUAUUCGUACGUCUUCUGUUUCAACUUCUUAUGAUUAUUUUGUUAUUUGAAUGUCAAGGACCCGAUAUUUGAAUUAAUCUAAUAAUCUACUGCCAUAUUAAUCAAUUAAAUUCGUAAUUGUUUGAUUGAUUAAUACUAAUGGCAACUAGCGUGAUUGGUUUCAUGUUAGGAAAACGUAUAAUCUAACUUCAAUGAACCUUCGUAGCGUAUUUGUUAGUUAGGAUUGAGUUUUUCUAAUUUUUAAUGCAAUUGAAAAAUUAAACCUAUGGUCAUAUCUAGAGUUGUUUCUUGGUUAGGAAAAUAAUUAAUGGUCGUGCCUUGACUAUUGAUAAACUAAGGAAAAGUUGGCUAUCAAAACUUAUUGAUGGUUAUAACCAAUUUAUUAAUGAGUGAUUAAAUCAUUCUUGCAUCAAUGAUCAAUUGUAUGAAUCGUAUCUGAAAAGUUGUACCUUUGAUUAGAGUCAUAUUUAUUGUUGAUUUAAUUCCUAUUUAUUUCAUUAAUUGUUUCUUUAAUUGGUUAGUGAGUUAUUUCUAAAUUGUCUAAAAAUUCCCCUUACUUUAGGCUCUAAAAAGAGACAAAUUUUUCUCAAUCCCUGUGAAUUCGACCCUACUCAUCACUAUAUACAAAAAUUUGUAUUUUAUUUGAAUAGGUAUUUUUUAUUGCACAAUCUCGACACCUCUCAGUUGCAUUAAAGCCUUAAGCUUUUCUAUUCUAUCUACUAUUUUUUUAUUCAAAAGGCAAUUUUAUUAAGUAGAAAGCAUGCACUUGUUUUUCAGAUAUGUAUGCAAAAUGUGGAAGGUUGGACCUAGCACGUCUAGCUUUCUUCAGAAUUUCCAAAAAAGACACUGUUUCUUGGAACUCGAUGAUUACUAGCUAUUGCUAGCAAUUGAUCUUUUCUAUCAGAUGGGUUUAGAAGGAGCAAAAUAUGACUCUGUUAGGAUAUCUGCAGCUCUUUGCACAUGUGCAGACUUACAGGCACUGCAUUAUGGCAAAGAAAUACAUGGAUUCAUGAUUCGAGGAUCAUUUAGCUCAGAUCUUUAUGCUGAGAGCGCAUUGAUAGACAUGUAUGCUAAAUGCAGACACUUAGAAUUAGCAUGUACUGCUUUUGACUUGAUGAAGUGCAAGAACGAAGUUUCUUGGAAUAGCAUAAUUGCUACUUAUGGGAACCAUGGACACCUUGAGAAUGCUUUGGCUCAACUGAAUGAAAUGAGGGAAAAUGGAUUCCAGCCUGACCAUGUCACUUUCCUCGCCAUAAUAACUGCUUGUGGCCAUACUGGCCAAGUUGAAGAGGGCAAGCAACUUUUUGAGUGCAUGACCUAAGAAUUUGGAAUUACAGCUCGAAUAGAACACUAUGCAUGCUUAAUAGAUUUGUUUGGCCGAGCUGGUCGUCUUGAAGAAGUACAUCAAGUGAUUAGGAGCAUGCCAUUUACUACAGAUGCUGGCAUAUGGGGCAUGCUACUCGGAGCCUGCCAUGUCCAUGGCAACGUUGAACUAGCUGAAUUGGCUUCAAAUCAUCUUUUUGACUUGGACUCGCAAAAUUCUGGAUAUUAUAUGCUCCUAUCAGAUGUGAAAGCUGACACUGAAAAGUGGGAAGGGGUUAACAAAGUAAGAAAUAUGAUGAAGGAAAGAGGAGUGCAGAAAGCUCCUGGUUACAACGCAAUCUCGCAACUCAGGAAUACGUGGUUUAACAAUUCUUCAUUCGGGCAGAAGAGACAUUUGGAUGGGAGGUUGAAACCAAACUAUUGUAAAAUUUCUGGAAAAGGCAGCAAGGAGUACAGCAGCUGCCACAUGAAGAUGGAAAUUUUGUAUGGUAGUCGUUUAUCCCAAAUCAGCAGAUGUGAGACCAUUGAGGCACCUUGUGAGCGCAGCUGCUGUAGUGCUGAAGAUAUGCUAAAGAGUCCAUUGGAUGAGGGACACCAUGCUAGACGAUCAUCACCAUUUGAGAUGGAGAUUUGGGGAGGUCCGAAUGUCAUGUAUCUCACUAGGGGAUAAGGCACUCUCGACAGCUUGUAAGUUCCAAGACCCAUUUUCCAAACAAUUGCUGACUUGCACUCCCGGGCAAGGGACAUAUGCCUUCCCUAUAGCAAGAAAGCCCAUACCCAACAAGUUUUCAAACCAAAAGGAUGAACGACCUGUGCAUAUCAACCAUCACGAGUGAUCCUCCGCAAAAUCUCGAGCUCGUAGCAAUCAUCGCCAUGUCUUCGAUCCUUUGCUGGACGUUGGUACCUGGAUUAAAUGUGACUAUUGCCCGUAUUUCACAGACAUGAAACGGGUCCAUAACGUAGAGGUAGUUCGUAGCCACCACCAAAGCUUGCAACUAAAUGCCUGCAGCACAGCGUCUAGUGCCAUGAACCCUAAGCCAUCCUUCUCGACUGGUUUACAUAGUUCUUCCAUUCCCUCUAAUGUCUCCUCUCCUUCCCCUCGACCUAGCCAUAGAAGAAGGUAGCAAAAAUGCAUUCCAUUUUUCGUAAAGUCCUUGUUGGGGGCUCCAAAACAGCCAUGAUAUGUUGGGGAAUUGACAUCAGGACGUGCUUGAUAAGCAAUGCGCGACCCCCAGCUGAUAAUGCCUUGGUUUUCCAGCCAACUAGCUUCAUUCUCAUUUUUUCAAUUAUAUGCUGAAAAUUCACUCGACUUGGUCUGCCUUUUGCUAGCGUGCAGCCUAGCUAUUGAAAAGGUAACUGGCGAACUUUAACAUCUAGCCAUUGGGAUAUCUGUCAUGAUCUAGCCGUCGAGCAUCGUAAGAAGAUACUCCCUCCCUUUUUUUAUAACUGACGUUUAAGAAAUUUGCUCUAGUGUACUUUUAUCUAUCAUUUUAUUAUCCCCAUACAGCAUUAAUUACUUUUUCACAAUUUUACCCUUUUAUCUCUCUGGUAUUAAUACACUCUCAUGCAUUGCUUUUGGCCUAGUAAAACAGCACCAUUUAGUACUAUAGUGAGAGAAAACAUGGGUGAAUUGGACAAUUAAUGAGGAUACAAAAGGAAAGUAGUGUACAGAUUUAAGCAUUGAAAAACUUUUCUUAAUUAGUGUGCAAAACCUUAAACGUCAGUUAUAAAAAAAGGGAGAGAGUAAUAAAGAAGCACUUGUCUUUAUUGAUUUGCUGCCCCAAGCCCAGUUGAUAAGUGUCAAGAAACUCUAGUAGUGAUUUGAUGUCUGUUUAGUGCCCCUUCAUAAAGAGCAAGACAUCGUCGGCAAAGCUCAAAUGUGCAAUUGGGAUACGUUCCCUCAGGAGGCCGAAUGGAGAGAGUUUACCCGUCGAGAGUAGGGCAUUCAAGCCUCGGUUGAAUGCUUCAACAACUAGUAGGAAUAAGUAUGGGGAGAGUGGAUCUCCUUGUUUGAUUCCCCACUCACCUUGGAAGAAGCCGAAGGGCUUGCCAUUGAUAAGUACUGAAAACCAUGCUCCUUGAAGAUUGUUCAUGACCAAGGAAAUAAACCAGCCACUAAAUCCAAAUUUACAUAGCAACUUGGAUAGAAAUUGCCAGGAUACGAAGUCAAAGGCCUUCAUCAUAUCCACCUUGGGAAUCAUGUUGUGGCCUCGAGUUUUUGUGUCUAUCGAUUUCAACAAUUCUUGGGCCAGAAGGAUAUUGUCUGAUAUUUCCCUCCCGUCGACAAAAGCAGAUUGCUCCAAUGAUAGUAGAGUAGGCAUCAAUGGUUUCAUUCGCAUACAAAGAAUCUUCGUGAAUACCUUUUUUAGGAAGGUGCAAAGACUUAUUGGUCUAAACUCGGCAAAUGUCUGCGGCUGUUCUUUUUUUGGUAGCAGUAUGAUUAAGGUGCUGGCAAUACUUUUUGGUGUUGGAACCCCACAAAAAAACCCUCGACUGCUUGCAACAGGUCUUGAGCUAUUAUGUCCCAACAAGUCGUGUAAAAGAACCCCGUAAAACCAUCCACCCAUGCUGCACUUUGGCCAUCCAAUGCAAAAACAGCCUUUUUGACUUCCUCUAAUGUAACUUCGCUCGUUAAAUCCUCGUUUUGUUGGUGUGUAACCGGCCUUGGAAUCGAAGCCAACAAUUCUUCAAUUGCUGGCUCACAAUUAGGAGUGUUUUGGCAGGACAACAAGUUUCUGUAGAAAGUUGCUGCACUCUGACCUAUAGCCUCCUCGUCUUCUAACAUGUUGUCAUCUGCCUCCCUUACUUGACGAAUUGAGAGGCAUGCUCGCUUGGAUAUUAGAGUGGAAUGGAAAAUUUUUGUGUUGGAAUCUCCCUCCUUUAGCUACCGUAUUCAUGUUUUUUGUUUCCAGAACAUUUCCUCAUCAGCGUCUUAAGUAGCCUUGCUUGUGUGCGGCUCUAUUGGGUCCUCGCCUCUUCUGUCCCUUCCUCCUCCAGCAAGAUCUCGCACGCUCUAACUUCUUCUGCUGCUGCUGCUACAUCCUUGAAAACAUCUCCAAACAUGUCUUUGUUCCACUGCUGAAGGUCAUGUUUGAGGCGCUUGAGCUUGAAGAAGAAAGCGAACAUGCCAUAGCCUUGAACAGCUUGCUCCCAACUCUGGUGAACCGUGUCAAAGAAUGUUGGGUGCUGGACCCACAUAUGCUAGAAUUUGAAUAACUGUGGAGCAGGGGCGCUGUGUUGCUUAACUUUCAUCAAAAGGGGCAAAUGAUCCGAUCCUGUUCUAUUCAAAAGUUGUAGCGAGUUAUCUUGAAAACACUAUAGCCAUUCUAAGUUUACUAGUAGUCCAUACCAUUCUAAGUUUACUACCAUCUGAUUUACAGUGAACUUGGUCAACACAAAGUUUAUUCUAUCAAGGUUACAAAGAAUAAAAUUGCAUCCAUUUUUCAGCUAAGGUAGGAACCCUGAAUAAGCUAGCUAGCUAUCUAGUUUGUUUCAGAUAACAAGCAAUGAGCAUCUGAUCAUCAAAGAGACACAGAAAUGAUAACCUCAACAAUCAAGUCGUUUAUUGCCAUCUCAAGUAAGUCUAUGGUAUUCAGGUCGUCGAAUUCAUCUCCUUUACAAAUGCAAGUAAGGAGCAUUCGACCACGAGAAAGUAACUUUUCCGAACGAAUCCUUAGAAAUGUGGGCGAGCGGACGACUUGCUUUGGAAGAGUAAAUGCUCCCUUUGUUCGCACUGAUCCCCAAUUCAAUCACCAAACCGUUGGGAACCUGCAGUCUAAAGCUAGUAACUUAUAUAGUUGGAUCAUUUUGUUAGUGUUGCAUAUGGGAAUAUAAAUCAUGAGCCACGAAUUAAAUUGUUAAUCUCAUUUCUUAACUACAAUAGUUUAUCUCAUUUAAUUGUUAAUCAUGCUUCAUUUAAAUGCAUUUAAUUAGUAAAUUUUAGGAAUUUUAUGUUUAUUCAUAUUUCUUUAUAAUAAUAAAGUGAAUUUACUAGAUGUUUGUAUUUUCUUUUAAAUUGUUAAUUAAAUUGGUACCUUGACUAUUUUGUUGGUUCUGGAGUAUAAAUAAGGCAAAUUCUACCUCAUUUAACCACUACUUCAAGGGAGAUACUUUUUAUUAUUAUUUUAAGUUCUUUUAUGUGCUCCUAUGUGUUUUUUAUAUGUGUGAUUGCGUGUUUUAACUGUCUUUUCUUUUAUUUUAUCUUAUUCAUUUUUAGCUUUCAUUUAUUUUAUUUAUUUAAAUUUUGAUGAUUAUUUGGAAGGUAUUUAAAAACCAAAUUGUAAUAGAUAGGUGUCCAAAAAAUGUAUUCAGUUAGGCCAUGUAAUUAGUUAGAUAGAUUUUAUUUUCACCGAAAUUGUAAUUAGUUAGAUAAAUGUAAUAGAUAGGUUUAUUAUUUUCAAAAUUCCCCUUCUACAUUGUAAUUAGGGUCCCCAAUAUAAUAGUUAGUUUUUAUUUGCUUCCAUGCUUGUGCGCUUAUGUAUUUUAUUCGUUUUUUCUAGGAUUUUGUAUCUAAAUAUUAUGCAUAUGUGCUAUGUGCUCUACAUACUUUAUAUGUUUUAUGGGUUUUAAUUAUGUUUUAUAUGUUUUAUUUAUUUAUAAUAAAUGCAUGACGUCGCCGCACUAGUCCAAUACUAGUUGUGACAUUUCUCCCCGAUUUCUCACUAGUCCAAUGCUAGUGAGAACUUGUAAAAAUGGGUUAGUCCAAUACUAGACCUUUUAGAUAAUUUUCGCGCUAAAUUCAUACAUUGUGUGACACUUAUUGCAUCUCAUGUAUUUUUUUCCUAUUUUUAGGUUAUUUUCAAUUGGAUGACAUUUCCCCUACUAUCAUUCCUUUACCCUCUAUAUAUUUGGACCAUAUCAUUUAGAAUUGCAUUUCAUUCUAGGAAAUGAGAAAUAGACUAGUCCACUUGGUUGACAAGGUUAAGAGAGUCACCCUUCGAAUAUGAGAAAUGGGUGAGUAUGACUUUUUAAAUUUAGCACGCUAUUACCCCUCUAUAAGAAGAAAAAUUGAAUCACGAAUUUUAGUCUCUCAUACCCAUUAUAUUGCAUUCCCCUUUUCUAGGUCAUGUACAUUUAUCUAUGUUAUAAUUUCCUUUUUGAGUCUCAUCUUUUGCACUUUUCAUGAUCUCUUCAAAUAAUCAUUUCUGGACAUCACAAUUAAUGUGAUUAGUACCAAUUAAAUUUUGAAGAGACAUUUUGACCCUCCCAAUAUCCUUUAGAUCUAGAUUUGCAUCCAUAUAUAAACAUCCAAAAUGUGAUAAGUUUUAUAUAUUAAAUUAGAAAAAAUUUCGACUAAAUCUCGCAACUACUCUUAGUUAGGUUGAAAGAGAGGCUUAAAUUGAAUAUUUGCCUUCCCUUUCUUCAAACAUGAUUCCCGAAUUCUUUUAUUUUAUUUUCAAAGAUUUGGAGUCCUCUAAAAGGGUUUUAUUUAUUUUUAUUUAAAAUAUAUUUUUGGUGAGUUGAUACACCUAAACUCAAUACUAAGUGCGCGACUCUACUCUUUUCUAAAAAAUCCUUUUUAGACUAUUAUUUUGGACUCAAACCGUCGCAUAUUUUAAGUUCCAUUUUAACCUUUUUUUUAUUUAUUUUUUAAAAUCAAAAACUCUUUUUUUUAACACUAUUUUUUCUUUUAUUUUCAAGAAUAAGGUGCGACAAACCCUAAACUAAACGACAUUCCAUGACCUCAAAAAGUAAUCCACAGUGGAUUUAAGGAUGGGACGUUGAGAUUCACAUGCUUAUUAUGCUUGUUGGCUGGCAUCAGUUGCGUCUAUAGUUGGAGCACCCAUUAUUGUGUUUGUCUUUGUCCCCGAUCAAACUAGGCCCCAGCUUAGCAUCUUCCGCAGGGCGUCACCUGCUGAUGUACCCUUCUGUCUGCAGUCUGAGAUUCACAUGCUUAUUAUGCUUGUUGGCUGGCAUCAGUUGCGUCUAUAGUUGGAGCACCCAUUAUUGUGUUUGUCUUUGUCCCCGAUCAAACUAGGCCCCAGCUUAGCAUCUUCCGCAGGGCGUCACCUGCUGAUGUACCCUUCUGUCUGCAGUCUGGCUCUUACCAUUAUUUAUGACACUGACUUUCCCAUACCAUUUGCAUUUUCUGUGGUGAGAAUUUUUCUACGAGAAUUAUCUCAUUGUUUUUACUUUUCCUUUUUUUUUUCUCUCUUUGUUUUUUUGGAGAAUAAUAAUGUAUUGGCAUGCUUUUUUAAAAUCUGAACCAUGAAAAUAUUCACAAGUCAUUCAUUUAUCGUGUUCUGCUUCUUUUUUAUAUGUUGGAACUUAGAGAUGGAAUAACUGAGAAUUGAGCUUGCGAGAUACUAACAAAAGUUUGAAUGUCUUUCAAGAUAAAGUGACACUUCCUUCAAAAAGAUAAAGUGACACUUAGCGAAUGAAUAAAUGACAAUUGAGUAUGCCAUUUACUAAGGAAAAGCCUAAUGUAUUUGAAGACAAAGUGACCACUUUAUGAAAGUUAUUCACGAAUGAUAAAAUCAGAAGUUGAGAUACGGGGAUAGGUUACGACUACGGUAGAAAGUUCACUUUUCUUCCCAUAGCAGGCAGAAGCAAUGCAAGGAGGCCAACUGUGCUUUGUGGGACGCACGAAGAAGGAUAUCCGGACAACACUGAGAAAGCCGGUUGUGCGUGAAUGAAAAAAUAUAAUACAUUUUAAAAUCACAAUAAAAGUUCUCUUAAAAAUUUAUUUAUCAUCUAAUGCCCAAUACUUAUAUUUGUUAAAUUAAAACAGUUAAUUAAAUAUUUUAUUAUAACAUAAACAACUAUAUGUCAUUGAGUUGAUUGAAUAAUAUUUUCUUUUCUUUUUUUGGCAUUUCAACUAGUUGUCAAUUAAAUUUCAAUUGAAAUAAAGAUUUUAUAAUUAUUUAAAUUAUUCAAUAAAAUUAUCAAUUUAAGAUGAACAUAAAUAUAUGGGGAUAAGAUCAUAAGGCUAGAAAAGUUGAGAUAUGGGGACAAGACUACUAGUAUUUGAGGUACCCUUGCGUAUUUGUAGAAGCCCGGUGGGUAAAAUAUAUAUAUAUAUAUGUAUGUAUAUGUGUGUGUUUGUUUAAUGCUUAUUUCUAUAUAUGUGUAUAUAUAAUGCUUAUUUAUGUCCACUUGUUAAGUUUUUAUAUGUUGUUCUUUUUAGUUUAUGUCAGCAUAAUGGUUAUUAUUUUUAGUUAAAUUUAUUAACCAAACAAAAUGUACCACAUUUCAACAUGUUGCACACGUUGAAAAAAAGACUUCCAACAACAUCUUGAAUUUCAAUUUUUUAAUAUGGUAAAAUUAUUUUGGUACUUAAAUUUUCAAGUCCAUAUCAUCUCAACUCCACCGACGUUGGAUUCCUCAACUUAAAGCUUAAAAACUGAAUGCUUUUCUUUCAAUUUCUAUGUCUCAUGGUUUUCUCGUGGUUUCAAUGAAAAAUAAAUAAAUAACAAAGCUAUAUAUGUUUCUAAAUUGAUAUCACAAGAGAGAAGAAAAAAAAGGUACUGAAAGGGUGAAUUUAUCAAUUUAUUAAUUUGAUUUUGAUUUUUUACUAUUGACCAUUCAUCUUAACAGAAGAGCUAAUGGUGACACUUUACCCAAAUCAUGAGAGCUUAUAUAUAGUUUUUUGAAGUAGGGAGAGUUAUGUGAUAAAUCACCAAAUUACAAGGGGGUAAAAGGUAAUUUACACAAAAAAUCAUCAUUCCGAGACUUCCCAUACAGUCAUACACGUGAUAUCGGACAACUAUUUAGUGCAGCUGUAUUUUGUGCAGUUGUAUCUGGUUGUUGUGCGUGUUCAAAUAUACAUAUGAAAAUAUUGUACUAAAUAUAUGUCAAAUAUCUUAUUCUUAUACACCACUUUUAUUACGAAUACAAAACAAUAAUAUAAUAUUAUUAUACACUAAAUAAUAUAAAAAGUACAAUACCCGAAAGACCCCCAACGGCACUAAAUCCUUUCCCCAACACAAAAACCAACUAAAAACAAACUUUUACAUGUCUGGCUUCUCUGGCUUUUUGGCGAGAGAAAUGAUAAGAUUAUUAUAGUAGGCUUUGCCCAAGGGGAGAACCUUUGCUGCAUGCUUCGCAAACCUGUGGAAUAUGUCAGGUAUAAUAGCUUCUCCAAAAUGACUUGCGAGGAUGGGUUCGUAAACUGCUCUAACGGAAGAUGCAACAUACUCUGCUUUAAUAUGUUCAUCGCUGUAUACUUGGACAUGGGAUCUUACUGGGUAAUUAUCAUCAAUAGAGAAGCCAGCAUCAUAAAGGACCUUAAAAGUCUCCAGGUAUAAAAUUUCAAAAGAACCUUCCUCCUCAACUAUGCACUUUACUUCUUCUGCUGAAGGUAUAUAGACUGGAAGAUUGAAACUAUCCAAUUUUUCUUCCUCCAGAUGUCCCUGCAGAUAUGCCAAUCAUCAAUUCAAUUCAAAUUAUUCGAAGCACGAGACUUGGAAAUUAACCAAUUUGCUCAAACCUCAACUCUAGGAAAAAAAAGGGUACAGUUUUUUUCCUUAAUUUCAAUAUGAAAAUAUUAUUACUACUUGUGCUUUUAGUUCAUAUUAUUAUUUUUUCCAAUACCUUUUUAACCAAAAAGGGGGGAAAAAAGAUAGCCGACAAAUUAAAUCCCCCUAUAUUUCUAACUUGAAAGAAUUAUCUUAACUGUAUUGGAGUUGUGUGACCUAACUUCGAAUUAAAGGUUACUACCAUCUGAUUUACACGGUGAACUUGGUCUACACAAAGUUUAUUGUAUCAAGGUUACAAAAAAUAAAAUUGCAUCCAUUUUGCAGCUAAGGUAGGAACCCUAAUAAGCUAGCUAGCUAUCUAGUUUAUUUCAGAUAACAAGCAAUGAGCAUCUGAUCAUCAAAGAGACAGAGAAAUGAUAACCUCAACAACCAAGUCGUUUAUUGCCAUCUCAAGUAAGUCUAUGGCAUUCAGGGCGUCGAAUUCAACUCCUUUACAAAUGCAAGUAAGGAGCAUUCGGCCAUGUGAAAACAACUCUUCCGAAUGAAUCCUUAGAAAUGUGGUAAAAUCUUUCGUAAAUUGAUCCAAAUAUGCCUUCUGGACGGGCAGACGACUUGCUUUGGAAGAGUAAAUGCUCCCUUUGUUCGUACUGAUCCCCAAUUCAGUCACCAAACCGCUAGGAACCUGCACGUCCAGAGCUGGUAACUUAUAUAGUUGGAUCAUUUUGUUAGUGUUGCAUGUGGGAAUAUAAAUCAUGAGCCACGACUUGAAUAAAAUAUGUUAUUAGUUUCUUCAGAAAUCUCUUUCUUGGAUUCCUGUGGAUAUCUUGAGAAUUAUUAAAGAAAUUUCCAUGCAUAGUUACUAAUGUGUUGAAUGAAAAUCAUGAACUAUUUUUGCUACAAGAAAAAGUAAAAAGAUAAAAGGGAUUAACUCAAAGACCUG